rnacentral:rRNA from 1 species
AACGAACGCUGGCGGCAUGCCUAACACAUGCAAGUCGAACGAUCCCUUCGGGAGUAGUGGCGCACGGGUGCGUAACGCGUGGGAACCUGCCCUUAGGUUCGGAAUAACUCCCGCAAGGGUAGGCUAUACCGGAUAAUGUCUUCGGACCAAAGAUUUAUCGCCUUUGGAUGGGCCCGCGUUGGAUUAGCUAGUUGGUGGGGUAAAGGCCUACCAAGGCGACGAUCCAUAGCUGGUCUUAGAGGAUGAUCAGCCACACUGGGACUGAGACACGGCCCAGACUCCUACGGGAGGCAGCAGUGGGGAAUAUUGGGACAAUGGGCGAAAGCCUGAUCCAGCAAUGCCGCGUGAGUGAUGAAGGGCCCUAGGGUUGUAAAGCUCUUUUUACCAGGGAUGAUAAUUGGACAGUACCUGGAGAAUAAGCUCCGGCUAACUCCGUGCCAGCAGCCGCGGUAAUACGGAGGGAGCUAGCGUUGUUCGGAUAUACUGGGCCGUAAAGCGCACGUAGGCGGCGCCGCAAGUCAGGGGUGAAAUCCCGGAGCUCAACUCCGGAACUGCCCUUGAAACUGCAGUGCUAGAAUCCUGGAGAGGCGAGUGGAAUU